AGAACGAACGCUGGCGGCAUGCCUCAUACAUGCAAGUCGAACGCUCUACAGGCUUCGGUCUGUGGGGAGUGGCGCACGGGUGAGUAGCGCGUGGGAACCUGCCCAACAGUGGGGGAUAACCGAUGGAAACGUCGGCUAAUACCGCAUGUGCCCGGGGGCAACUCGGGGGAAAGAUUUAUCGCUGUUGGAGGGGCCCGCGUCGGAUUAGCUAGUUGGUGGGGUAACGGCCUACCAAGGCUUUGAUCCGUAGCUGGUCUGAGAGGAUGAUCAGCCACACUGGGACUGAGACACGGCCCAGACUCCUACGGGAGGCAGCAGUAGGGAAUAUUGGACAAUGGGGGAAACCCUGAUCCAGCAAUGCCGCGUGAGUGAGGAAGGCCUUAGGGUUGUAAAGCUCUUUCGCACGCGACGAUGAUGACGGUAGCGUGAGAAGAGCCCGGCUAACUUCGUGCCAGCAGCCGC
rnacentral:rRNA from 1 species